CAGUAAAUGCGAUAUGAUUCGCGAUGGCUUACUACAAAUUGUGCACAAAUCAAGUCAGCAAUUCAAAACCUGAAUACCUCGACAUCUCAUCAGCUACACAAAGAACAUAUUAUCAAACAUCCAACACCGUUUCUUCUCCGCUAUCUCGCAGUCACCAAGACCGGAACACGUCCAUGUCGGUAAACAAUUCUUUAUAAUCAAUUUAUGCAUAUCAAUAUAUUGCAUCAGAUAAUACAGAUUCUCGCGUUACAAUCGCGAGCUUUUAAGUUAUAAAAUUCAUACUUAUUUAUUAUUUCGCAUCAAAACUUUAUAAAUAAACUUG
rnacentral:lncRNA from 1 species